AGACACUGUGUGUUUCAAGUGACUCAGCCUGUACGCCUAGUUUCCAAUGAGUGGAGCAAUUGCCUGCAGCAGUGUGCCAGGGAUUAUUUGUUAAUGCUACCAGGCAGGGCAGGGGCCACUUGCAAAUGCCAGCAGCUCAUGGCUGGUUGUCCCCAUACCUGGGACCAGCAGCUACCAAGACUGCCUUUGUCUCAGGGAAUUUCCCUUCCCUCACGUUCAUGGCAUCAUCUCUUGCUAUCAUUCUCUGUCUGUGUGAGGAAAGCAACAUCUGGGAAGUCAACAGGCUUCAAGAACUGGUUCUGUGUGUUGACUGGAAUCACCUGGGAAGUUUUAGUCCUGUGAUACCACCUGGAACCACAGACCCCACAGAGAGUCCUCGCUAGCAAGAAGACCCAAACCAGAUGCAGCCCCUUGACCCUGGACUUCCCAGACUCCAGAAUUGUA
rnacentral:lncRNA from 10 species